CCAACGUUGCAAACCCUAGGUUCACGUGCCAACGUUUGACUGUCCGUCUUAUAUGAAAUUUUUUUAUAAUUAGUAUUUUCAUUGUUGUUAGAUGAUAAAACAUAAUUAAUAAUUUAUGCGUGACUUAUCUUUUUUAAUUUUUUUCAUAAUUUUUUUAAAUAAGACGGAGGAUCAAACAUUGGAUACGGAAACCAGGGUUUGUCUUUUU
rfam:Oryza glumipatula chromosome 10, whole genome shotgun sequence.